AUUGAACGCUGGCGGCAUGCCUUACACAUGCAAGUCGAACGGCAGCAUGAUCUAGCUUGCUAGAUUGAUGGCGAGUGGCAAACGGGUGAGUAAUCCAUCGGAACGUGCCCUGUAGUGGGGGAUAACUAGUCGAAAGAUUAGCUAAUACCGCAUACGACUUGAGGGUGAACGUGGGGGACCGCAAGGCCUCAUGCUAUAGUAGCGGCCGAUGUCUGAUUAGCUAGUUGGUGAGGUAAAGGCUCACCAAGGAGACGAUCAGUUGCUGUUCUGAGAGGACGAUCAGCCACACUGGGACUGGUACACGGCCCAGACUCCUACGGGAGGCAGCAGUGGGGAAUUUUGGACAAUGGGGGCAACCCUGAUCCAGCAAUGCCGCGUGUGUGAAGAAGGCCUUCGGGUUGUAAAGCACUUUUGUCCGGAAAGAAAUCGCACUUACUAAUAUUAGGUGUGGAUGACGGUACCGGAAGAAUAAGGACCGGCUAACUACGUGCCAGCAGCCGCCGUAACAC
rnacentral:rRNA from 1 species